rnacentral:rRNA from 1 species
CCUACGUGCGGCAGCAGUGAGGAAUAUUGGUCAAUGGGCGCGAGCCUGAACCAGCCAAGUAGCGUUAAGGAUGACUGCCCUACGGGUUGUAAACUUCUUUUAUCAAGGAUUCAAGUGAGGCCCGUGUGCCUUUUUGUAUGUACUUUUUGAAUAAGGAUCGGCUAACUCCGUGCCAGCAGCCCCGGUAAUACGGGGGAUCCGAGCGUUAUCCGGAUUUAUUGGGUUUAAAGGGAGCGUAGAUGGGUUGUUAAGUAAGUUGUGAAAGUUUGCGGCUCAACCGUAAAAUUGCAAUUGAUACUGGCAGCCUUGAGUACAGUUGAGGUAGGCGGAAUUCGUGGUGUAGCGGUGAAAUGCUUAGAUAUCACGAAGAACUCCGAUUGCGAAGGCAGCUUACUAAACUGCCACUGACAUUGAUGCUCGAAAGUGUGGGUAUCAAACAGGAUUAGAUACCCUUGUAGUC